UACGAAGGUCCCUAGCGUUGUUCGGAAUCAUUGGGCGUAAAGCGCACGUAGGUGGCUUUGCAAGUCAGGUGUGAAAGCCUGGGGCUUAACCCCAGAAGUGCACUUGAAACUGCUUAGCUUGAGUACGGGAGAGGUGAGUGGAAUUCCUGGUGUAGUGGUGAAAUACGUAGAUAUCAGGAGGAACAUCGGUGGCGAAGGCGGCUCACUGGCCCAGUACUGACACUGAGGUGCGAAAGCAUGGGGAUCAAACAGG
rnacentral:rRNA from 1 species